GCAAUAUUUGCUUCAUACUUCAUAUGAAAAUUCAACAGUUUUCUUAAUUAAAUAAAUUCUCAAUGUUUUCCCGAGUAGAUUUUUACCUCUAACAUGUGUUUAUAAGCCAAAGCACGAGUUUCUACUUUGACUAGCAGCUUAAAGUACUCGAAGCGAGUGCAUUCGUCUAGCAGAUACCCUAAAAUCUCAUUCGGGGAAGGGAAUCAAGAAAAAGACUGCUGAGAUUUUGACUAAAGAUUUAUAUAUUUUAAGGGUGGACAGAACGAUAGAAAGAUAAUCAAGAAUAUCUUUGCCUGAUGUACGCUUAAAGGACUUAAAAGAUAGUAUGGUGUGUCUAUCGCAACUGAUCAAGGAUUUAAAUACUAUCGAGACAAACGGAAGUAUGCAAAAGGCUAUUAAUGGUGGUCCCAAUUCUAAGAGAAGAUGGAAUAAUGAAAACUACAAAUUCAAUUUUUCAAGAAUGGAAGGAGGGAAGAAAAAUGGUAGAGAGUUUGAUGCAUAGAUUCUGAUCAAAAUAUUAAUUAAACGAAGGCAGAUGGUCGUAAAAGGUUAGAGAGAUGCGGCUAUUAAUUCUGACAUGAAGAACAAACGAAAUGAUGGAAAAGAUAUUAAUUUUGAUAAAGAAGGACAAAAGAGGCUGGUUAGCUUCAGCCUCGAUGCUGAUCAAGGAUACGCGAAUACUAAGGACGCACGGAAGGUCGAAGGAUGAACAAGAAUUUCUGUAAUUUAAGGAUGGAUGGGAAAUCGAAGAAGACUAGUUGCUAUCAUCUCUUAUUCUGAUCCAGAAUACCCUAACUUAAUGGACACAGGAAAGGACGAAAAAGGCUUCUGAUGCCAAGCCAAAAUCAAUGCGCUCUAAAUGGUUGAGACUCUCAGCAUGAACUUUCCAUUCGCCACCUGUGGCCAGAGUAUCAUCAGCUUGGCUAGGAUUAUGCGAAAUUCGUGCUAAGUGAAUGAAAUAAAGUUGUUCAGCUUCAAUGCUUAAAGUCCAGGUUCCUGUUAAGGCUCUGGGUGGCCGAGGCCCAGCAGGCCUGUAGAGUGAAAAACUCAUAUUUAUUUAAAGCAAGCCAAAUGAAAGCCCAAAAGAAAAAUCAACUUUUGCGAAAAUGUUUUGUUGCCAUAGACUGGCCAACUUCAAAGGCGAAGGCUCGGUUAACUAAAAAUGGUUCAUGGCCAGGUAAUUGUUGCCAGUUCUGAAUCGAAGCAGCGAAGCAUAAAAGUGCUCAAUCCCAAUCCCAAUCCCUAUCCCUAUCCCGAUCCUGAUCCUGUUCGCAAUGCCCAUGCGGACUAGACGAGGCUGUCACUCGACGCAGAAGGCCAAACGAAUGCCGGCUAUAAAUUUCAUGCGAACUUAAUUAGAUGAGCGGCAAGAGUCGGCUCUCUGGCCCUGGGUCUCAGAGGGGGGGGAAUUGCGGCUGUCAUUUGCUUCUGGCAUGUGGAGCAUCUGGCAUUUGGCAGCACGUGUGUGGGGCCGCCAGCGUAGGCGACGCGAGAGUUUUACCAAAGUUUAGCUGCACAGCCAGGGCACAAAAAUAUGCCAGUUUGAUUUUAAUAAAAAAAAAAAAAAAAAAAUAACAACAAAAAAGGAGCAACAACUGCGCCAGCAGCAGCCACGUUAGCUUUAUGCCUAAGCUUAAGCGGAAUCAAAUGUACAUCGGGAGUCAAGUGUUGGCCCGAGUUAACCUACGGCUGCCUUGCCCUUGUGGGCGGGGGCUGGUGGGCGGGGGCGCAAUUAUGCCGAAAUUACAAACUUGUUAUCUCAUUUAUGGCGUCAGCUGUGUGUAUUUUUGAUUUCCUGCUAUGAUUUUUCAA